ACGGCCGCCGUUGCACGCGUUGUUGUCGUCCGCCCGAUGGCCCUCAUCGAAAUUUAAGCGAAAAUGAAAUUCGGUUAGCGUCAACGAAAAACGAGUUGCAGGGCCACAAAAAGAAGAAACAGAAGCGGAGACGGAGACAGUGACAGUGGCAGUGGCAGAGCCAAAGAGCUAAUCUGUUGUGCAGUGCGUUUUAUCAGCAGCAACAGAAAACAGAAACGAAAACGAAAGUCGAAACAGUCGCGGAUCUGUGGCUCUCGUAAUGUGCCCCAAUAAAAAUAAAUGAAAAUAACAAAAUAAUCACAACUACAGCCGGAAUAUGUAGGUAAAAAGUGAAAAUAAAUCAGAGACACAAAGUGCUCUAAAGCGAUACCCCAAAAAAGUUCCCCAAGCAACAAAAAUAAAUCAAAUAUUAUACAAAAUACCGAAAAAUAAAAUCAAAUAAAAGUAAGUGCCGGAGAUUCUAAUACGAAAAGUGCUCUCUGUGCAAAUACAACAUGUUAAUUGAUGGAUUCAAUGGGCAGGCCAGGCAGCAUUGCGAGACAACGGGCAGGGGCACCACUCAACUCCAGACCAGACUCAUCUCCACCUAAAUACUUCUCUCUCUCUCUCUCUCUCUCUCUCUCUGGCUCUUUUUCUCUGUCUUGCCUACACUCUUCACACACCAAUUCGUUAUGUAAAAUGCAGAUCAAACAUAUUUCGAAAUGACUGCCCCCCCGCUACCGACCCUACUGCUAGACAAAGUCCAUCGAUGGGUGUCUCAGAUUAUGCAAAACUCAACUUAAAAAAAAAAAAGAGCGCCUCUGAGAAAAGCGCUAACUAUGCAAAUUCGUUUAAAAGAUUUCAAUUGAAACCGUAACCGAACCUAAGACCCGUACCCGUAUACGUGCUAUGCGAUCCCAAAAGCCAAAGCAUUAUUCUUUGGAAUCGUCUUUCUUUCUUCUUUCAUUUUGAUUACGCGCAUUAUUUAGUCAUAAUAAUAAACAAUAAGCAAUAAGCAUUUGGGCGCUACAUAAGUAUUACGUACACGCAAGAGUGUGAAUGAAUGUGAGUGAGUGUACGCGUGAAUAAGAAAAAAGAAAGACAAGUCGCAGAUAUUCAUACCCUGAAAGAUUUGAUUUAUGCACUUGACUGCAUAGAGUUAUUCUGCGUUAGAGUUAACCCACAAGUGAACUGAACCCUUUCGAUUAGUGUAUACAAAAGGAAAGGCCAGCAACAACACGCUACACAUUGUGUGUGGUCAGGCGGCGGCGACGCUGUCCAAAUAAAUGGAACUGCUGCUGCAGCAGCAUCGCUGCCUGUGCUCGUGCUCCCUUUUACACAUGCUGUCUUUCACUCACUCAAAGGCAAACAACUCAAAUGUCGCUGGGCGACCAAUCAAUUGAACCUUAAUCCCAUGUCGCGCUCUCUCUCUCUCUCUCUCGCGGGCCUCUCAGCCGGAAUUGGGUUGAGUUUUGUUUAUCUUCUUCUGUGGCAUAACAACAAAAACAACAAACUUUUACUACGCUGGGCGCCAAUAUAC
rnacentral:lncRNA from 1 species